ACCUCACGUGCCAAUAACACGGUCCAUCGAAAUGGGCAAUGAGAUGGAAGAAGCUGCACCAAAUUCCAAAUUUGUUAAUGGCUUUAUGUCGAUCCUUCUUCCUCUGUAGCUUUCCACUUCCUCGUCUUCCAUUGCAGUUUAACACUUCAAUUCCUUCCCCAAACUGCCCUUUAAAAUUCCAUCAAAUUAGCACUUUGCCACUCCUUGGCUUUAAACGCUGCAAAACAGCUUCUUUUGCUUCACUGCCAUUAUCAUCAUCAAUGGAGAACCCACCAGAAGGUUAUAGAAGAAAUGUGGGCAUUUGUCUAAUGAACCCUUCCAAUAAAAAGAUAUUUGCUGCUUCAAGGCUUGAUAUACCUAGUACCUGGCAAAUGCCACAGGGUGGAGUCGAUGACAGUGAAGAUCCAACAAAUGCUGCCAUCAGGGAAUUAAGAGAGGAAACUGGGGUUACUUCAGCAGAAAUUGUUGCUGAGGUCCCACAUUGGGUAACGUAUGAUUUCCCACCAGAUGUUAGAGAAAAGCUAAGGCAUCAAUGGGGAUCUGACUGGAAAGGUCAAGCACAGAAGUGGUUCCUAUUUAAGUUCACUGGGAAGGAUGAAGAAAUCAACCUUCUGGGUGAUGGCACUGAGAAGCCCGAGUUUGGAGAAUGGUCAUGGAUGUCACCCGAGCAAGUUAUUGAACUUGCAGUGGAUUUCAAGAAGCCUGUUUACAAGGAAGUUCUAUCUGUUUUUUCUCAAUAUUUCCAGUAGUGAAACCGGCUAUCUCUGAAGUGCGAAGUUCAAGAGACAAUCCGAAGCAGCCACUGACAGACUUGACCAUCUAGAAACUUGCAAAAAUGUUGUUGCAAAGGAGGAUCCAGAUGGCAAAGAGGAAAGUGAAGAAAAAGUGGGUAAAUGGUCCUAUCAAUGGGCUAAUACACAUCAAAGGUCAAAAGAAAGAAGAUUUGUAUAGUCAAUUGGAGCAUAAGGAGACGGUAAUAGAAGAAAACUUAUCGGAUGUUAAUCUGAGUGAGAAACAUUUAUUUUAAAAUGGGUCAAUGGGUUUGGGUUUUAAAAAUUGGGUGGGUUUUACUUAUUUUGAAAUUAAAAUAUGUGACCAAUUACAAAAUGUUAUGUGGCUUUUUAAAAGAGUUAAAUUUGACCUGUUAGUUUGAGGGGUAUAUUUGAGCCAAAAACAAACUUUAAGGGUAUUUUUAGGCCUAAAAGGUGGAUGGAAGGGUAUUUUUAGACCCAAAGGUGGAAGAGGGUUAUUUAUGAGUCUUUUUCAAUAGGUUAGGGGUAUUUGUGAGCCUUUUCCGUUUUUAUUUUUAUUUUUAAAAGAGGCAUACUUGAAAGUUCAAACUAGGGGUGUUCGAGAAAACGAAAAAAUUGAACCAAAUAAAGCGGGAGUGGGAAGUGUACCCCCUGUCACAAUAACAAAAGUGAAGAGGCCGAAAGGUUAUAAAAAUGAGAUAUAGGAGAAAUUUCUAUAGUGCAGUUGACAGAGGUUUGGACUACACUAGGUAUAUUUGUAAUAAAUGUAUUAACAAAAUAUGUGAAUAUACCUGGACAAAUCAUCCAUAAAAAUGUUUCAAUAAUAACACCAAUAGAGUAAUACAUCA